GUAAAUAGUUCAGCAUGAUUACAUGUUUAUAAAGCACAGUGGAUGUAUUCUAACAUUUUCCCACCUGGAAAAAUUGAGCUUAAGCAUCUUCAGCAAUCUAGAAGCCACAUCGUGUUCUUCCCAAUGUGUCAUGUCAUCUUUAUAGUAAUCAUGUACUUGUAGAAAUGGGACUGGUUGGUGGUGGUAAUUGUAAAGGUUCUGGUGUAGAAAUUGCAGAUGGAGAGCGAGGCUCUGGGGAUGGACGUGGAGGAGCCGAAAGGAGCCUGGAGAAAAAGGCUGUCAUAUUUGCUCAGAAGAACCGCCAAAUCAGAGAGCAGAGGAGAUUUCAUUGGAGGAGCGCCUUCAACAGCAACUAAUCCUGUCAUAUUGAAAGAAAAUUGUAAAUGUUCUCUCCAGAAAUUGUCCGCCCAUUGCAGGAAUCGAACACACACGCAGGAACACAGACACGGUCUCCUGCUAUACCAAAGGCGCCUGGGCGCAUAGACCGGCUCCAGCGAGCGAGCCGCCGCACGCGCGCGCGCACACACACACACGGUAACACACACAGAGACACACACUCUCGGGCGCGCGCCGUCUCUCUCUCUCUCUCUCUCUCUCUCUCUCUCUCACACACACACACACACACACACGCACACACACGCGCGCGCGCCAGCCUGCGGGUUGGCUAAGGGCCUUCAAACCGCAGAUCCCACUAGGACAUCGCCAGAGGCACUGAAGUAGGUGUUGCCCCCCACACUAAUUACUACUUCCCCACUUUGUUGAAGAAAUGAAUCCCGCCCAGCUCGCGGGUGCAUCCAGGUCUUGGUUCUGUUAUGCUCUCCAGACUCGUCUUCGUGCAAGCCAGAUCAAGGGAGAAAAGGAGCUGGCGGCUGGCUUCGGACUCUGAGCGGUGCGCAGCUUGUUCCGGGGCCAGUCAGCCCCGAACCCGCGAAAGGCUCCUCACUCCUGCCAGCCUUCGUCAACGAAAUCACAGCCCCGAGAGGCAGCUGGAGCUACACCGGCGGCAGGAACAUUUUAGGGCAAGAGGAAAAGAGGCUCUUGCAAAGACACCCCCACCUCGCCAUCAUAAAAAGGCAGCAAUAAGAACGAACAAGCUUUUCAAGGUAGUAUCAUGUUUUGUUUUGUUUUUUUUAAAGAUUUUAUUUAUUUAUUUAUUCGACAGAGACAGAGACAGCCAGCGAGAGAGGGAACACAAGCAGGGGGAGUGGGAGAGGAAGAAGCAGGCUCCCAGCGGAAGAGCCUGAUGUGGGGCUCGAUCCCAUAAAGCCGGGAUCACGCCCUGAGCCAAAGGCAGACGCCCAACUACUGUGCCACCCAGGCGCCCCUCAAGGUAGUAUCAUGUUUUAAAUUGAUACAGUGUCAGAUGAUCUUACAGGAAGUCAGCUGGAGAAUGGAAGAGAUUAAAAUGGUCUGUAUGCUUACUUACAGAGAACACAAGAUAUCUCAAAUUAAAUUCCACAAAAAAAAUGUGCAUACUCAUAAAUAUAAGCAAAAACAUUGGCAAAUAGACUCAGAGAGUUUAAUACAUAUAGACACCGCCUUUUCCUAUAUACAAAAGGGGAUAUCUGGACUCCUAUUUAAACACAAGGGCAGGAUCAAAUUGAAAAUCACGCAUAGCUCUGUGGCAGACAGGACUCUCAGGGAUGUGAAUGUGGGCUUACCAACAAACCAUGGCUACAGUAAGAGGACUAAAGUGACCCUCCAAGUUGGUUUUCUCCAUGGAAGCAGGGGCCUCUGACAGCAGGGCGUGAAGGAAGCUGGUAGAGAAGCAGCCGCAUCUGCCAGGCCACUGAGUAGGCUCUCCAUUGAGAGAUACCUAUAGGUAGGUAUGGAUUUGCAGGUGCACAUAAGCACAGAGAAGAGCUCUAAGGGAAGGAUGCACAGAGUGGGAAGUGCAAGAAAUGGUGUAUGUGUGGGUGGGGAGGACUGGGUAAGAGGUCAACUAGAAGAAAGCGAAGGAUUAAGAAAAAAAAAAUAAAACAAAAACCCCAAUAAACCUUGAGUUUGGUAUCAGUCACAUGUAUAGUAUGGAGAAUCUUCCUGGAGACCUUCUCACCUCAAUUUUUAAGAACAUGUUUCCUUGUUUUUAUGAACAUUAACUAUUACAUUCCAGCUAACAUUUAUUGGGCACUUUGCUGUGGACCUGGCUAAAGGCUCGUUUAUUUCAUAUAGUAUCUCAAUUAAUCCUUAAAAGUUGGUGAUCCGUUGUGCUUUUUUGUUAGUGAAGAAGAUGGCAGAGAGCAGAAAGGCUAAAUGAUUGUCCAAGAUUGUGCUUCUAGUACUUCAAAACCAGCUUAGAAAUAAGAUAAAAGAAAAAAAAAGAAAUAUGAUCAAAGAGUUUAAGCACCAUGACAUGCUUUCAUGUUGACCCAAAUGACCUCCAAGAGUCAGCUUAAUUCUUCUGAUCUUGCACAAAUUGUAUUAUAUGGAAUGAAAAACAGCAAUAUGUUGACAUGGAGGGAGAACCAGAGCGGGAACUUUGACAGAGUUUAUCCUGCCUUGCUCCUAGCUAAAUUCCCCCAGGUAAAUCAUCCAACUCCUAGAAUCAGUUGCCGCAGCUGGCAAAUGGGAGUAACAACCUAUCUCAGGGGUUUUCCUGUAAAUCAAGUUAUAAAAUGCUUGUGAAGGAAAAAGUAAUGUAUGAAUGCAAAGUAUUUGGGUCCUGUAAUCAGAAGGCCUUCAGGAACUUUGAGAAUGGAAGCAAAAUCCAUGAUAUAAACUGAUAAAUUAUAUUAAAUCAUUUUUUUGUAUUGAUUUGUAAAGCAUUUUUG
rnacentral:lncRNA from 1 species